rnacentral:lncRNA from 1 species
UUCAUCUCAGUGACUGUGAAAUUCCUGAGGAUGUUAUUACUUUCAAGUCAGAUUAACAGAGUAAUUUCCAGGUUCCUUCUCUGCACCACAGGAGGAGAGGGAAAGGAUGGAGUCUAUGGUGGGUGACACAGUGCCUGCCCAUUAUGCACAGCUCUAAGCACAUCUUUAAAGAUGAGACC